rnacentral:rRNA from 1 species
AGCGAACGCUGGCGGCAGGCCUAACACAUGCAAGUCGAACGAAGUCCUCGGACUUAGUGGCGGACGGGUGAGUAACACGUGGGAACGUACCUGUUGGUUCGGAACAACUCAGGGAAACUUGAGCUAAUACCCGAUGACUCCUUAGGGGGAAAGAUUUAUCGCCGAAAGAGCGGCCCGCGUUAGAUUAGCUAGUUGGUGAGGUAAAGGCUCACCAAGGCUACGAUCUAUAGCUGGUCUGAGAGGAUGAUCAGCCACACUGGGACUGAGACACGGCCCAGACUCCUACGGGAGGCAGCAGUGGGGAAUCUUGCGCAAUGGGCGAAAGCCUGACGCAGCCAUGCCGCGUGAAUGAUGAAGGUCUUAGGAUUGUAAAAUUCUUUUACCAGGGACGAUAAUGACGGUACCUGGAGAAAAAGCCCCGGCUAACUUCGUGCCAGCCGCCGCAGUAAUAC